rnacentral:rRNA from 1 species
UACGUAGGGUGCAAGCGUUAAUCGGAAUUACUGGGCGUAAAGCGUGCGCAGGCGGCUUUGCAAGACAGAUGUGAAAUCCCCGGGCUUAACCUGGGAAUGGCAUUGGUGACUGCACGGCUAGAGUGUGUCAGAGGGGGGUAGAAUUCCACGUGUAGCAGUGAAAUGCGUAGAGAUGUGGAGGAAUACCGAUGGCGAAGGCAGCCCCCCUGGGAUAACACUGACGCUGAGG